rnacentral:rRNA from 1 species
CAGCCGCCACGGGAAUACGAAGGGGGCUAGCGCUGCUCGGAUUUACUGGGCGUAAAGGGUGCGUAGGCGGAUCGUUUAGUUGGGGGUGAAAGCCCGGGGCUCAACCUCGGAAUUGCCUUCGAUACUGGCGGUCUUGAGUAUGGAAGAGGUAAGUGGAACUCCGAGUGUAGAGGUGAAAUUCGUAGAUAUUCGGAAGAACACCGGUGGCGAAGGCGACUUACUGGUCCAUUACUGACGCUGAGGCACGAAAGCGUGGGGAGCAAACAGGAUUAGAUACCCGCGUAGUCCCUGUCUCUUAUAC